UACGUAGGGGGCUAGCGUUGUCCGGAUUUAUUGGGCGUAAAGAGCGUGUAGGCGGCCAGGUGGGUCUGCUGUGAAAACUCGAGGCUCAACCUCGAGACGUCGGCGGAAACCAUCUGGCUAGAGUCCGGAAGAGGAGAGUGGAAUUCCUGGUGUAGCGGUGAAAUGCGCAGAUAUCAGGAGGAACACCAAUGGCGAAGGCAGCACUCUGGGACGUGACUGACGCUGAGACGCGAAAGCGUGGGGAGCAAACAGG
rnacentral:rRNA from 1 species